rnacentral:rRNA from 1 species
AUUGAACGCUGGCGGCAUGCCUUACACAUGCAAGUCGAACGGUAACAGGUCUUCGGAUGCUGACGAGUGGCGAACGGGUGAGUAAUACAUCGGAACGUGCCCGAGAGUGGGGGAUAACGAAGCGAAAGCUUUGCUGAUACCGCCUACGAUCUCAGGAUGAAAGCAGGGGACCGCAAGGCCUUGCGCUCACGGAGCGGCCGAUGGCAGAUUAGGUAGUUGGUGGGAUAAAAGCUUACCAAGCCGACGAUCUGUAGCUGGUCUGAGAGGACGACCAGCCACACUGGGACUGAGAAACGGCCCAGACUCCUACGGGAGGCAGCAGUGGGGAAUUUUGGACAAUGGGCGCAAGCCUGAUCCAGCCAUGCCGCGUGCAGGAUGAAGGCCUUCGGGUUGUAAACUGCUUUUGUACGGAACGAAAAGACUCUGGUUAAUACCUGGGGUCCAUGACGGUACCGUAAGAAUAAGCACCGGCUAACUACGUGCCAGCCGCCGCCGUAAUAC